rnacentral:rRNA from 1 species
GACGAACGCUGGCGGCGUGCUUAACACAUGCAAGUCGAACGGAAAGGCCCUGCUUUUGUGGGGUGCUCGAGUGGCGAACGGGUGAGUAACACGUGAGUAACCUGCCCUUGACUUUGGGAUAACUUCAGGAAACUGGGGCUAAUACCGGAUAGGAGCUCCUGCUGCAUGGUGGGGGUUGGAAAGUUUCGGCGGUUGGGGAUGGACUCGCGGCCUAUCAGCUUGUUGGUGGGGUAGUGGCUUACCAAGGCUUUGACGGGUAGCCGGCCUGAGAGGGUGACCGGCCACAUUGGGACUGAGAUACGGCCCAGACUCCUACGGGAGGCAGCAGUGGGGAAUAUUGCACAAUGGGCGGAAGCCUGAUGCAGCAACGCCGCGUGCGGGAUGACGGCCUUCGGGUUGUAAACCGCUUUCGCCUGUGACGAAGCGUGAGUGACGGGAAUGGGUAAAGAAGCACCGGCUAACUACGU